UUAACGAUUUAUAAGUAUACUCAGACGACACAAUUAUGAAAGAAUUUAAUAAGGCUACUGGCAGGCACUGACCAAGGGCAUAAGCCCCCGGCGGCCCCGAAAGGCGGGCCUACCAAAGCAACAUGGUAUAAUAAACAAAGGGUUGGAGAUCGGGCCUAUAAGACCCUAACUCGGUAAUGAUCCUUCCGCAGGUUCACCUACGGAAA
rnacentral:misc_RNA from 1 species